GGAAGCAGGCGCUCUUUGAGAUCCGCCAUCAAUAAUAACAAGCUCUAAUUGCUCAAAUUCCGACGAAGAAAUCAGGGUGGGUCCUCCUAGAAGAAGCAGGAGCAGCAGCAAAAUAGGGAAAUCGAAUAACAGCAGUCAAAUGCCGUGUCCGAUUAUGCAAAAACUGUACCUGUAAGAGGAAUUGGAGCGGUGUAAAGAAAAUUGGCAUUACAAUAGAUUGGCUGAGAAGUGAAGGAAGACAGAGAAUCUUUCUUUAGAAUGAAUCACA
rnacentral:misc_RNA from 1 species